rnacentral:rRNA from 1 species
UACGUAGGGGGCAAGCGUUGUCCGGAUUUAUUGGGCGUAAAGAGCGUGUAGGCGGUCAGGUAGGUCCGUUGUGAAAACUCGAGGCUCAACCUCGAGACGCCGAUGGAAACCAUCUGACUAGAGUCCGGAAGAGGAGAGUGGAACUCCUGGUGUAGCGGUGAAAUGCGCAGAUAUCAGGAAGAACACCCGUGGCUAAGGCGGCUCACUGGUCCGGUACUGACGCUGAGGUGCGAAAGCGUGGGGAGCAAACAGG